GACUCUCGGCAACGGAUAUCUCGGCUCUCGCAUCGAUGAAGAACGUAGCGAAAUGCGAUACUUGGUGUGAAUUGCAGAAUCCCGUGAACCAUCGAGUCUUUGAACGCAAGUUGCGCCCGAAGCCGUCAGGCCGAGGGCACGUCUGCCUGGGCGUCACG
rnacentral:rRNA from 1 species